UACGGAGGGGGCCAGCGUUGCUCGGAAUUAUUGGGCGUAAAGGGCGCGUAGGCGGCUUGGUAAGUUUGAUGUGAAAUCCCAUGGCUCAACCAUGGAACUGCAUCUCAUACUGCCGAGCUAGAGUCUGGGAGAGGGAAGCGGAAUUCCCGGUGUAGCGGUGAAAUGCGUAGAUAUCGUAAGGAAGACCAGUGGCGAAGGCGGGUCUCUGGACAGUUCCUGACGCUGAGGCACGAAGGCCAGGGGAGCAAACGGG
rnacentral:rRNA from 1 species